CCUACGGGUGGCAGCAGUGAGGAAUAUUGGUCAAUGGGCUUACGCCUGAACCAGCCAAGUCGCGUGAGGGAAGACUGCCCUAUGGGUUGUAAACCUCUUUUGUCAGGGAGCAAUUGGCGCUACGUGUAGCGUUAUCGAGAGUACCUGAAGAAAAAGCAUCGGCUAACUCCGUGCCAGCAGCCGCGGUAAUACGGAGGAUGCGGGCGUUAUCCGGAUUUGUUGGGUUUAAAGGGUGCGUAGGCGGAAUGCCAAGUCAGCGGUAAAGUCGCGGGGCUCAACCGCGCUCCGCCGUUGAAAAUGGGGUUCUUGAGUGGAGGAGAGGUAGGCGGAAUGCGUGGUGUAGCGGUGAAAUGCGUAGAUAUCACGCAGAACACCGGUGGCGAAGGCGGCAUGCCGGCGCCCAACUGACGCUGAGGCACGAAAGCGUGGGUAGCGAACAGGAUUAGAUACCCCAGUAGUC
rnacentral:rRNA from 1 species